rnacentral:rRNA from 1 species
UACGAAGGGGGCUAGCGUUGCUCGGAAUUACUGGGCGUAAAGCGCACGUAGGCGGCUUUGUAAGUUAGAGGUGAAAGCCCGGAGCUCAACUUCGGAAUUGCCUUUAAGACUGCAUCGCUUGAAUCAUGGAGAGGUCAGUGGAAUUCCGAGUGUAGAGGUGAAAUUCGUAGAUAUUCGGAAGAACACCAGUGGCGAAGGCGACUGACUGGACAUGUAUUGACGCUGAGGUGCGAAAGCGUGGGGAGCAAACAGG